rnacentral:rRNA from 1 species
AGUCGAGGGGUAUAGGUUUUCGGACCUAGAGACCGGCGCACGGGUGCGUAACGCGUAUGCAAUCUACCUUUUACAGAGGGAUAGCCCAGAGAAAUUUGGAUUAAUACCUCAUAGUAUUAUUGAAUGGCAUCAUUUAGUAAUUAAAGUCACGACGGUAAAAGAUGAGCAUGCGUCCCAUUAGCUUGUUGGUAGGGUAACGGCUUACCAAGGCAACGAUGGGUAGGGGUCCUGAGAGGGAGAUCCCCCACACUGGUACUGAGACACGGACCAGACUCCUACGGGAGGCAGCAGUGAGGAAUAUUGGUCAAUGGGCGCAAGCCUGAACCAGCCAUGCCGCGUGCAGGAUGAAGCAUCUAUGGUGUGUAAACUGCUUUUGUACGAGAAGAAACACUCCUACGUGUAGGAGCUUGACGGUAUCGUAAGAAUAAGGACCGGCUAACUCCGUGCCAGCAGCCGCGGUAAUACGGAGGGUCCAAGCGUUAUCCGGAAUCAUUGGGUUUAAAGGGUCCGUAGGCGGUUUUGUAAGUCAGUGGUGAAAGCCCAUCGCUCAACGGUGGAACGGCCAUUGAUACUGCAAGACUUGAAUUAUUAGGAAGUAACUAGAAUAUGUAGUGUAGCGGUGAAAUGCUUAGAGAUUACAUGGAAUACCAAUUGCGAAGGCAGGUUACUACUAAUGGAUUGACGCUGAUGGACGAAAGCGUGGGGAGCGAACAGGAUUAGAUACCCUGGUAGUCCACGCCGUA